GACGAACGCUGGCGGCGUGCUUAACACAUGCAAGCCGAACGGGCUGCCUGGUUUUCGGAUCGGGUGGUGAGUGGCGAACGGGUGAGUAACACGUGAGUAACCUGCCCCUCUCUUUGGGAUAACGUCGGGAAAUCGGCGCUAAUACCGGGUAUUCUGGCUUCCUCGCAUGGGGUUGUUGGGAAAGGUUUUUUCUGGUGGGGGAUGGGCUCGCGGCCUAUCAGCUUGUUGGUGGGGUGAUGGCCUACCAAGGCGGUGACGGGUAGCCGGCCUGAGAGGGUGUCCGGCCACACUGGGACUGAGACACGGCCCAGACUCCUACGGGAGGCAGCAGUGGGGAAUAUUGCACAAUGGGCGGAAGCCUGAUGCAGCGACGCCGCGUGGGGGAUGACGGCCGUCGGGUUGUAAACCUCUUUCAGUGCAGAACAAGGCUCUUUGUGGGUUGAGGGUAUGCGCAGAAGAAGCGCCGGCUAACUACGUG
rnacentral:rRNA from 1 species